AGGUGAUUAGCUCAGCUGGGAGAGCACCUCCCUUACAAGGAGGGGGUCGGCGGUUCGAUCCCGUCAUCACCCACCA
rnacentral:tRNA from 6 species